UACAUUUCAAACCCAAUGAUUUAUUCGGAUUCCUACCUGUAUCCAACUCAUCCAUAUCUUAUACUCUUUUAGCCAAAAAAAAACGAUUCCAUUUCUUAUGCUUUCUUCAUUGUUUUUCUUUAUUUUAUAGUAUUUUGCUGGUAUCAGUAUUAAUGUAACUUUAGAAACAAGACAAGAGUCCUGGUUUAGAUGGAGCCUCGAGAAAAACAUGUUCUUAUUAUUUUGUCAAUGGAGGUUCUAAUGGAUGUUGAGCUUUUAUCAUCUACUUUCGCAUUUAUCUUGUUUACUUUCAUCCCGAGAGCUCAAAACUCUAGAGCUGAUUCCCUAGAAAAAUCAGCUUUUUGUAACAGCACUUCGGCUAUGUUGUACUGAAUUCUUCCUUGCUAAUGAAAUUUGUGUGUUGUUAAAAAAAAAAAAACUAAAAAGAAGGCUAGCUUUGAAUAUGACCAAAAUUGAGAACAUCAUCUAGCAUAAUAUACUAUUCCUUCUGUUUCAUAUUAAAUAUCAUUUUAAGUUUUCAAAUUUGUUUCAAUAUAAAUAUCGUUUUACAUUUUCAAUAUAAAUAUAAAAUCAAAUUUUCAGUUUUUACCCUUAAUUUUAAUUCAUUAACUAGAUUCU
rnacentral:lncRNA from 1 species